rfam:Picea glauca, whole genome shotgun sequence.
CGGUGCCAUCAUACGAGCAUUAAUGCACCGGAUCCCAUCAGAACUCCGUAGUUAAGCGUGCUUGGGCUAGAGUAGUACUGGGAUGGGUGAACGCCCGGGAAGUCCUAGUGUUGCACCCU